ACCACCCCGGUUUCAGGGAGACAUUUGCUUGCUUCUCUCAGUGUAUCACCCCAGCUGCAACACGGUUUUGACAACGCAUGGCUCUCAGACUAUGGCUCAGAGAUUCCCAAACAGCAGCCGUACUCUGGAACUCUUUGUAUGAGGAGUGUUCCUUACUGGGACUGUGCAGAUGUCUGGGAUUAGUCCGAGUCUCUGACAUCUUUUCUGCACUCUCGAGGACUGGCUCUUUCUCAAAAGGUCGGUGAAAAAGGAGGCCUGGACUCAGCGUGACAAGGACAGAGAGCCCACUGGCCACUCCAGGAAGGACCACCCAUGGGUUAGCAGUGUCUCUCAGGGGGGCAGAAGGAAGGGAGCCUCCUUCUGAGAUCAACCUGAUGAGCUACAGGCCCUGAAACGUGUGCGACCGCUCAGAGUGGUCAUUUAGCGCUCACCACGUCGGAGCAGGAGAAGCCACUCUGCAUUCCAGUUCCCUCACUUCACCUCAAGCCAAUUCCGUGAGAGGGUACAUGAUUGCAGCUCCGCCCCCUCACUGAAAGAAGAGAUAGUCGCCAUGACACCUGCAGUUCUCACGUUCUCUAGCACCAAAGUGACCGGGCAGCUAAACGCCUCCAGCUGAGAGUGGAGGCCAGCCCAGGGAAGAGAGCUUUGACCUGGUAUCAUCGUUUUGGAGCAAUUAUCCCAGGAAAAGGAAGACAAUAUGACACCCUUAUUAAUAGACAAUAUGACACCCUUGUUAAUAUGACUGUGUGCUGUGACUGUCAAUGCCCCUGACAUUUCACUGGUUUGUCCCUACCCCAGUGAAGUGCCCACCUCAGUCCCCGGCUUUGUUCAGAGCUUUUUACCUUUCUUUUCUACCAUUCUCAUCCCUCUUCCCUCCCAGCCUCCCACUGACCACCAUGGGGAUGUGGAAGGCAGGGGGAGAAUGCCACAGGCACCUGACCUUGACCCCUGGGCUCUGUGUCCCCCUCACCCCUCUGUGUGGCUCCUGGAGGUGGACCUUGCAGACCAGGGGACACCCCCUUUCCUGGUCCCCCUGCCUCCCACCUUUAGUGAUUCUCCCGCUUACUGCCACCCUCGCACCGUCACAUGUGUUCAUGUUUCUUAAAAGCCAAACUCUUAGCAGCCCCCCAACCAGGGGUUACUCAUUUUUCUCAUUCCCUUCGCCACAGAAACCGUAGUACACAGCUGUGUUGGGGGCCGCUCUCGAGUUCUCGCCCUGCACUUCUGUCACAGGCCUGUGCCAGUCAGCCUCCCCCCUUCACAGGUCGCCAGAGACCCCUACUUUGCUGCCCCAGGCGAGGCUGUUCCACAGGUGAACGGCAGACCAGGAAAGCCCUGCUACCUGCUCCAAGGCCUACGGUCACUCCCUCCAGGACAGUCCAGCUGGCGGCUGCCUCCAGAGAUUGCAAAACAGCAUGGACUGUAGAGGAGCCUGGCAGGAUCGCAGCUUCCUGUAUCUGAGUCCAGACGCUGCCCUUUAGGGAUGAAGGAUAUGGUGUGGCCCCCGUUGCUAAAAGACUAAGCAUGGAGUGUAGUCCUGGAGCCAGCUCUUCUUCGACUUGUGAGAACUGCUUGUCAAAUCCUGUAGGCCAGUUAUUUAGAAACCAUUAUAAAAAUUGUAAGUUUACAAUUAAACCAAA